rnacentral:rRNA from 1 species
UACGUAGGGGGCAAGCGUUGUCCGGAAUCAUUGGGCGUAAAGCGCGUGUAGGCGGCUUGGUAAGUCGGGUGUGAAAUCCCGGGGCUCAACCCCGUGACUGCAUUCGAUACUGUCAGGCUAGAGGUAGGUAGGGGAGAUCGGAAUUCCUGGUGUAGCGGUGAAAUGCGCAGAUAUCAGGAGGAACACCGGUGGCGAAGGCGGAUCUCUGGGCCUUACCUGACGCUCAGGCGCGAAAGCUAGGGGAGCGAACAGG